GGACCCGCACAAGUAGUGGAGCAUGUGGUUUAAUUCGAAGAUACGCGCAGAACCUUACCAACACUUGACAUGUUCGUCGCGACUUUAAGAGAUUAAAGUUUUCGGUUCGGCCGGACGAAACACAGGUGCUGCAUGGCUGUCGUCAGCUCGUGUCGUGAGAUGUUGGGUUAAGUCCCGCAACGAGCGCAACCCUCACUUUUAGUUGCCAUCAUUAAGUUGGGCACUCUGAAAGAACUGCCAGUGAUAAGCUGGAGGAAGGUGGGGAUGACGUCAAGUCCUCAUGGCCCUUACGUGUUGGGCUACACACGUGCUACAAUGGCAGUGACAAUGGGUUAAUCCCCAAAAGCUGUCUCAGUUCGGAUUGAGGUCUGAAACUCGACCUCAUGAAGUCGGAAUCGCUAGUAAUCGC
rnacentral:rRNA from 1 species